GCAGUCCAAAUGACAUAGCUUCCAAUUAUGAAUGCAUAAAGAUCAUUGCACUUGAUGCCAUGAGUUAUUGGGAGAAAAGGGAUGGCAUUGAAAAGGGCACGCCCAAGUGAUAUUGGUACAACUAUCAAGGCAGAGUUGAAGAUAAGUAGAGUCAUCCAAGCUACAACCAGCAAGAGGACAAUGCGAAGAACAAAACUGUACCUGUCUGAAUCAGAUUGUUCAUCACUAUCAUACUCAGCAGCAUUAGAGCUUCCUCCAGCAAGAAGACCUCUGUUUGAAUCAUCAGCAGCUGCAAGUGCCACCAAAGCUCGAUCCUGUGCACCUGGUUGUACUGCUGGAAGUCUAUCCUGCCUCCCUGGCUCUGCAUUUACAUUCUCCUGGCCACCAUUUUCCUCAGGUCUGGGCAGUAAAAAAUCAGUUAAACCAAGUGCCCAGCCAACUGCUGU
rnacentral:misc_RNA from 1 species